AGCUCUGAGAGGCUCCGAGCUUUUAAUGAAACCUGUCAGCCCCGGGGGUCUGGUGCCUGCAGGAGGGUUCUGCUCGGAUGGGAAUCAUUGCAGAAGGUCGCUGCUGCUCCUUCCCAGCAUCGCCAAACUGGAGGUUCCUCCUCUUUGCUGUCCUUUCCAAGCUCAGGAUCUGACCUCUACAACACAAACAGGAAUUGAAAAUGAAAUCAGCUUGUAUUCCAAACUGAGCAGUUUCCGCUCCUCUGCCAUGUGAGACGAGCCAUGGAUCUGCACAGGACUAAGGGAAGAUGAUGGGCUGCAGUAUUACCUGAGGGAAGACCUAAUCUUUUAAACCAAUGCACCCUCACAGUGACAUUCUGUUAUUCAUUCUCUGGUUUUUGGCCUGUGGGUAUCUCCUCAUGACUAUUCUCCACAUUUUUUUUAACAAGUGACAUCCCUGAGAAUUCC